rnacentral:misc_RNA from 1 species
GAUGAAGAACGUAGCGAAAUGCGAUACGUAGUGUGAAUUGCAGAAUUCCGUGAACCAUCAAAUCUUUGAACGCAUAUUGCGCUCGAGGCUUCGGCCGAGAGCAUGUCUGCCUCAGCGUCGGUAUUACCCCUCGCUUCUCAACCCCUGGUUGAUGCCUGCCUGCCUUUGCAGUUGGCUAGAAGCGGAUCUGGCUUUCCCAAUUGCCUUUGGUAGUUGGGUCAGCUGAAGCACAGAGGCUUGAGCAAGGACCCUUAUUGGGCUUCAACUGGAUAGGUAGAACUGGUCUUAGGACCAACUACACGAAGUUGUUGCUUGUGGUCUUUUGUCUGGAGGCCAGCAGGAAACCUUUAUACCUUCGACCUGAGCUCAGGCAAGAUUACCCGCUGAACUUAAGCAUAUCAUAAGCGGAGGA